AGAGUUUGAUCCUGGCUCAGGAUGAACGCUAGCUACAGGCUUAACACAUGCAAGUCGAGGGGAAACGAUAUUGGAAGCUUGCUUCCGAUAGGCGUCGACCGGCGCACGGGUGAGUAACGCGUAUCCAACCUGCCCACCACUUGGGGAUAACCUUGCGAAAGUAAGACUAAUACCCAAUGAUAUCUCUAGAAGACAUCUGAAAGAGAUUAAAGAUUUAUCGGUGAUGGAUGGGGAUGCGUCUGAUUAGCUUGUUGGCGGGGUAACGGCCCACCAAGGCGACGAUCAGUAGGGGUUCUGAGAGGAAGGUCCCCCACAUUGGGACUGAGACACGGCCCAGACUCCUACGGGAGGCAGCA
rnacentral:rRNA from 1 species